rnacentral:rRNA from 1 species
UACAGAGGUCUCAAGCGUUGUUCGGAUUCAUUGGGCGUAAAGGGCGCGUAGGCGGCGGGGUAAGUCGGGUGUGAAAUCUCAGGGCUCAACCCUGAAACUGCACUCGAUACUGCUCUGCUUGAGGACUGGAGAGGAGACUGGAAUUCACGGUGUAGCAGUGAAAUGCGUAGAGAUCGUGAGGAAGACCAGUGGCGAAGGCGGGUCUCUGGACAGUUCCUGACGCUGAGGCGCGAAAGGCCAGGGGAGCAACGGG